AUAAUUGUAGCAAACAGGCAGAGAGAAAGCUCUGUAAUAUCUGCUCCCCUUUGAGGUAUACCGCUGUGUCUGGUGGGUCACAUACCAGCCAGUGCCAAUCUGCUCCUACAACAGAACAGCAUUCAAAAAUUGACUUGAGAAUAGUGUUUACUAAUUCUGCAGUUACCUUCCCCUUCUGCCUUCUUAUCCAGCCUUUGCCUCAGCCUCUUUCAACACCAGCAGGGAGAGUAUCACCUCUGAAGUUCAGGUGGGUAGCUGUACAUGGGAGCUUGCAGCUUGACUAUAAAGCAUUUAUCUUAGCUAAUGUAGAGCUGAAGAAAGAUGUGCUGUUCUCUCCUUAGUGUUUUCUGCUAGUUAUGCCAAGAGCUGCUCAUACCAGUCUGGGGACCAGACACGUAAUAGUUAGGAGCAGAGUGUUGCACACUAAGGUUUCUUCGUCCUUGAUCCUGCCUCAGAGAUUCAAGAGCCAUACAUUAUUUCUGAUUUAUGAUUAUAUCAACAGCAAGUAUUCACACCGCCCCCUUGGACCUCCUCCACUUCCCUAGCCAUCUUGACAGAGAUGCUGGGAGUAUUAAUUCCAGCUGGGUGCACGAGUUCAGAGAGCCCUUCUGAAAGAGAAGUAGUGAAACAAAAGGAAGAGAGACGCUCUCUUUUGGCUCUGCUUUGUUGUGCUGCAGGAAGCGAAGAGACAGCAGUCCAGACAGCAGAGAUGACAGGUCAUGAAGAGGGCACUUCCUACAAGACAGGAAGCCAUGCUGACCUUUAUAUGGAGCCCCAUCUGGCUGCAGGCCUCCGUUCCCCGCUUUGUGCUUGGAUUUCCAUCCUCUGCGCAUGGCUGAGCUAGGGGCUGCUGCAACUGGCUAGGCAACAUGCUGUGGGAGAGACUGGUCAAGCGCCUGGACCCUUAUUGUUGGGUGCUGCCACCAGGCAGAGAAAUCCCUGACUAGAUUACGAAGAGGCUGAUGAUGCCAGCUGGAGGACCUGGGGUGUAAGGCAUGCAGUCAUAGGAUGCCAGAGACACACAGCUGAAUCAGUGUGAAUCAUGAUCCUGCAGAAACUUUUCAAGGAAAAAAGUAGCUGUCAAUCAGCCAAACUACCUAAAAUAUCUCUUCAUUUUUACUGUUUCAUUUCAUAUCUUAAAGGUCUAGUAAGGUUAUAAAUGUGAUCUGUUAAGGGGUAUUAGAAGAGAGUGCAACUUUUUUUUUUUUCUUUUUUUUUAAUGAAAACAAUUUUAAAAGAAAUUACAACUCCACUUCCCAGAAUUAGUUUGUAGGAUAUAGACUAUAUUUAUUACUCUUAUCAUAGUUGUUUAUAUUUCACAAAUGUGUGGCAGCUCCAGGCAUGAUCUGUAAUGGUAGGCCAUGUCCAACUUAAGGCUCCUCCACAUAUUGAUGAAUUAUGGUCUAAAGACUCUGUGAGUGAGAACACAUUAAUAGAUUGGAGAGGAAAUUCUGGGCUCCUGGUGGGAAAUCUUCACAAACACAAACUUAUACCUUUAUGUAUGUAUUCAGUUUGUACUGGUUGAAUUGAAGGGGAAGCACAAGAGGGUCAGUUGUGACUCUGAAUUAGGUGUUUUUAUCCUCAUGAAAAUGCAAGAUGGUAAUUUGGCUUCAUAGAACUCGACUCAUUAUAAUUCAAGUGAUGCUAUCAGCUGCACUAUCAUGAUUAAUGCUGUCAAUACACAAACAUUAAUUAAUACCAUUAAUAUUUUGAAAUCUGGAGUUAAUUUUCUGUACCAGAAUUAUUAGGCUAUCUUGAGGUCAGGAACCAGAUGUGGCACAGUGCUUCCAAGUUUAGGUUUUUAAAUGAUCUUCCCAAGACAAAAUAAGCUAACAUUUUGAAAAGGUAAAAGUGUGAAGCUAAAACAUGCAAGAUGAUAUAGGAACCCAGAGACCAAACUAUGGAAGGACCCUGACCUCUUUUAUCUUUCUGAAAAGCUGAGUGGAAUAUGAAAAACAGGAGAGGCCAGUGAAGAUCUGAAGACCUCUACAUUUUCAAACUGUUCUGAAAGUUAAGUUGUGGUAGUGCAGAUAGAAGUCUGCUUUGCAUUUGUGGUUUGUGCUGGAAAGUGUAUAACUGUCAGGAAGAGGAAAUGUGACUUAGUGAAGUGCUGAGUUACUUAUAUACUAUUAAGAAUCAUCUACCAAAUGGAACAGACACUGUUUUCAGGACUAUGGGAAGGAGGUGAAAACAGCACAAAGUGUUACAUAGGGAAAGUACUGGAAAUUGGUUAAUUCCAGGAGCUGUGGAAGGUUAUUUUAUAUGAGGAUGCAUGUAUCCAUUUAUUUACUGAACUGUGUACUUCCAAAUGAAUGAAUUUAUUUCUAAAAAAUCUCAACUUUAUUUCAUUUAGGCUGAGAGUACUGUAACAUCUUUUCUCAUAUUAUGUUUCAAGGAGGUUCAUCCAGUUCUGGAUAAGCCCAAGAGGUACUAGAUUACACAGCAAAAGUACAUAAAGACAUAAAGGUUUUUCAGAAUAUUAUUUAAAUCUGUCUAAGUUUGUUUUGAGAUUGAAUUGUUUCACUAAAAUAAAAUAAAAUAAAAUAAAAUAAAAUAAAACUGUCAGUAAUGUUUUAGGAAUUUUUUAGAAAAGGUUCGUUCUAAAAAGGUUGCACUUUAUAAGUUGCUAAAAGAUUUCAAAUAAUAAAGGAUUCUUGUAAUUUUUGAAUUAUCAAAAAUUUUCAAGAUCUUUGAUCCUUUAUUAAAAAAAAAAAAAAAAAAAGGCAGAGCAAAAAGAACAACACUAAUUUAUUGUAUUUGGAAAAGGCUACAGAAGUGCACCACUCCAAUUUCUUUUUGAACACAAGUACUCCGGUUCCAUAUUAGCUUUGCCUUUUGUAGUGUGGCAAAGUAUCUAGGGAAUUCCAAGUGAAUUUUUUCAUCUUCUCCAGAACAGGAAACAUAUUGGAAAAAAUUCCUGUGACGAAUGUAAGCUGUUUUUCACUGCCCAGUCCCUGCUCUUACUGCUGCACAGAGCAAGGCGGUCACCUAUGGGAAAAUAAAUCUUAAAAAGUCGCAACCCUACAUAAAAAUGAUCAUGCUGGGUAGAUCAUGCUACUCUGCUGAGUCACUUUUGUAUCCAUGUUUACCUGAGCCAAAAACGUUUAAAGUGGUUUCCUAAGUUCAUAACUUCUUUGGGUUGCCAGACUGUCGCAGAGCAGUAGGAGUAGACAGAUUAAUUUGAUUCCAGUCAGUUGGAUUCAAAGGAAAGCUGGACAGGGUCCAUCCGCAUGAUGCUUGCAUUUUAAGUGAGGUAUCUGUUUCAAUAAGCAAUGUGCUGUGUUUGCUGAAUAGGUUGAAUUUCAGCUCAGGUGCCCUGGAUGAAGCGUGUUCUGAAUUCAGCCCCAGUUUGGGGGAAAGGGCUGGAGCACAGAGACUGGAUUUGAGGUUGAACAGACAGUUUCUGCAAGAGAUGAGACCUCUGCAUUUCAUCACAAAAGUGAUGGAUCUGGUCCAAAGGUCAGUGAGGUGAAUGGAAAGGCUCCAGAUGAAUUCAAUAGUUCUGGAGCAGACUAAUGAGUGCAAUUUUUAUUUCUCUCCUCCUGCCUCCCCUUUUAGUUUCUCAAAAACAUUAGAUAUCCAUUUUUCUGUAUAUAAUCACACCUUUCCUAUUUCUUAUUUUUUUGUUUGCAUUUGAUAAAUAUUUUAGAGCCCUUCACAGACCAGGCAAGAGUCAGACAGAGAGGAAGAGACCAAAGCUAUUAGUCAGCUUUGGGAUAUUUCUCAAGUACUAGGGAGGAAAAAAGAAGUCUAAUUUGUAUUUGUUGUUCCCAUACUUCUGAUCUAUUGUCAUCAGGCUAAAAUAUUUGCCUUUAUAUUGCUAAACAACAAGAGUCUUCGGAAGCUUUGCAAAAGUACAUUUGUUAGUCACUGUUUGUUGAACUCUCUGAAAAUGACAAAUGUUAGCUUGUAUUUGCUUGUAUUAAAAGAGCAUAACUUUUUAUCUUAAAAGAAGUUAAACAUGUUGAUUAAAUUGAUAUUUCUGUGUUUGUCUUAAAAUUGUUUCACUCGUGCCUUUCUUACUCCUCCUCACUUUCUAGAAUCUCUCUUCUUGGGCAAAUCUAGAAAUUCUCCACAGCCUUUUUAGUCUGCAAAAAUGCUGUUUCCAUGCCUGACAGCUGCUCCUUUUGUUGUAAAAAAUAUUCCAAAAACAAAACAAAACAAAACAAAAGCAUUCUCUUUUUCACCAAAACAUGAUGAAGAAUAGAUAAAAUACCAUAUUAUUAAAAGAUUGAUGCUAUCAUGCUAUAUACCAGUCAAUUAUAGAAAGAAUUUAUGAAAUAUUAAACAAAAUGUCAGAAACAGCAAUUCAGAGAAAGCACACAGAUAUGAAACCCCAAAAAUCUAUCUGAUUGUGAAAGUCAAUUUCCUAUGGCUUAAGGAAGUGGCCAUCCAGAAAUCAGUUAUUGCUUUGCUGUACCACUUAGCACCCUAUGAAAGCACAUUGUCACUACCUUACCAUGAUGUCUGUGAAUCCAUUCAGCAUUAUCCAAAGAUAAGGAAAGGUGUCAAAUUAUGAAAAGGGCAUAUGUAAAAUUCAACAGCUGAUAUAUACUUUUUCUUGGCUGUCCCUGGCACUAUGUAAGGUGCUGUGCUACCACAUGGUCAUAUAGCGUCUCCUCCACGUGGGAACAGUUUUUGCAGUCACAGAGCAGGGUCCAUAUGCAGGUCCACCAUGUUGGCUUUUUUGAAAUGUUUUAGGGUUUGGCUUGUUCCAGUGAAGCAUUGACUUACUCUGUCCUAUACUUAAACACUAUGUUGUCUUGGUGCACCAGUCUGCCUGUGGUUUUGCAUGGAGGACUCUGACCAUGGAGUGCUAUGUUCAUACUUUGAAGGACCUGCGAAUUUUGCUACAAAUCUUUUUAUUCUUUAGCCUUCUUGAUGUUUUGCUGAGAGAUCAUUUUGCUACUGUCACUUUCCCAGUUUGGGGGGAUUAUAUUGUUUGCUGAACGAGUGCAGUAACAGAGAUCUGAGACUGGAACCGUGUGUAGAGUCUCCCUAUCCCUUCUCAUUGACAUUAUUUGUGGUUGGGCACAGGAGAGCCAUGAGUAGAAUAUUGUAGGGCAGGGGGAAGAUGGGGUGGACAGAACAGAGAAGCUUUCUCAUGCAGAAACUUCUUUUUUGCCCCAGGAUAAGAGUCUGUUUCCAACAGAGAAUCAGAGAAACUGGGCAUAGGUAAGAUAGGGUGUGCUCCUAGUUACUUUGAUCCCUCUUAUCUGAAGAGGUCUUAUCCAACCUUUUGAUGAGGAGAAAAAAAGCCUUCUGUUAUCAAGGGUAGUUGCUCCCUAUUAAUGAUGAAAAAAA